UGAAUGGGUGAGACUCCCCUGGUGUCCCAGUGCCAGGGAUGGCAGUGGAGCUUUGGGAGCAGCCUGUCCUAUGAGCUCCUGCCAGUCUGUGCAGCUCCCAGUCCAGGGGCCACUUGGUGGGCGAGGGGAGAAGGGAAGUUGCCCAGUUGGGGGGCAGAGAAGUUCAUUGGUGAAGGGAUGCAUUGCAACUCAUGGUUCUAGGAUGGACAUACUAAGAAGGAUUCUAAGGAGAAAGUUCCGCAGGUGGCCCUGGAGCCAGAGUGAGGCAGCUGUCAGUGGCCACAGUCAGACAGUGGCCCUUAAGUCCCUGCUGGGAGGAAGCAGCUCCCAGCCAGUCCAGGAGGUGGACAUUCCCGACCUUCGUCACCAGAAGGAGACCAGCUCCCAGAGCAAGUGCUGAGGUGGGAGAGGCGGCAUCCAGGCUGAGAUGGAGGUGGUCCAAGACAAGUUGCAGUUGGCCAAGCAGGAACCAGUGCAUGAUGGGAGCUGGGUAAUGCAUCUCUGAGGCUUCUCUUGCUGGAAGGACAGCCCCAGGAACCCCGCCCUGUGGGCCAGCAUUACUCUGCCCACUACCUGGAGACCUCUCCAGGUAGGAGAUGGGGAAAUCCCGGCCCCAGCAGUGGCACCAGCAGCUCAGCUUGCUCCCAAGGGGAUAGCAGCAGCUCCCUGGAGCUUGGAGGCUGAGUGCUCCUCUGCUGCAGGUGAGGAGAUCCCUGAGCAUGGGGAGGAGUAAAGGGCUGUUCACAUGUGCCCCAUGGCACUGUUCAAAUUCCUGGGGGGAUCCCAGCCCAGAGGUCUCACGUGAGCCAUGUGAGCCCAAUGAUGCCAGCAGGAAUUGCACAGCUGCCCCAUACAGCAGGUAUGGGGGGGAGCUGCUGGGAAGUGGGUCCCUGAUGCUCUGGGGGUGGGCACCUACCAGGGAGGCUGGGACAGUGCUGGGCCUUCUCUUCCAUGGAAGCCUGGGGCUCUGUUGGAGGGGCACUGUGGGGCUUUUUCUGCCAUGGGCCUUUAUGUGGGAGGGGGGAACAUUUUAACCCUUCUCUCUCUGCUAUGCCUCUGUCCUUCCCUUUUGUCCCCUAGCAGCAGCAGGCAUCACCCUCUCCCCUUCUCUCUCGGAUGCAGUGACCCCCAGUGACCAGUUGCAGCAGGAGGAGGAGACAGAUCUGACCACGGAGGAAGCUGCCUGGAAGGUUGUCAUGGAGCAUUUCCAGGGUGGAGGCAAGGGCUCAGGGUGUGGCUGAGCAGAUCCAGUUCCUGCGUGCCAUCCCCCAACUCAAUGUAUUUCACUGCACAGAAGAGUGGGCAGGACUCUCUGGAGCCACCUUGCUCCAAAGCAGCCCUGGCGGAGAGGAUCGCAGAGCUGACUUAAGAGCUGCCCUUGGACUCUGCGCUCAGCUCCAUCCUCUUCAGCUCCAUGGUCGCCGUGUGCAACCUCAGGCUCUGCACAAGACCUUGGCAGAGAACCUGGAUAUAAUGCUGAGAAGCCUGCUGGCAGUGUCCCACAAUACUGACAAGCUCCAGCACAUCUUAGAGGGGGACGGGCCUGGGCAUGAAGGGAAUUCUGCCUGAACCCAUUGAGGCUACAAAGGAGAGACUGGAAGUUCCACGUUUUCAUGGUAUCCCCUUAGCUGGGACCCCACGGAGCUACCUUGGCCAGGGCAGUCAGUGACAUGCAGUGUUAUCGUCCUCCUGUGGGGAACGGAGAGAAGGAGCUGGGCUGUCAAGGUUGGGUCUAUGUGAAGGGGAGCGCCUCCUUUUGGCUGGAUGUAGUAUAGCCAUUCACAGCGUAUCAGACUGAGUUGGGGCAUGAGAGCCUCAAAUCCCUGUGAGAUCCAGGGAGUGGUCCUGAGAGGAGAGUCAUUGGCUCCUCAUGGGGUCCUUGGGGAAUCAGCCCUUCUCUCCCAUGGACACUGAGACUCUGGAAGGAUUGUCCACACUGUUACUACCUCCAUCCCUCCAAGCACCCGCCAAGCACUUCAGAGCUGGGAGGGGGCCAGGGGUCUUUCUCUUUCCUGACAAGCUGUCCUUGAGUCAGGGGACCAGAGAGAGUGGCACCAGCCCCGAGAGUGAACAUUGUCUGAGUCUACAGACAAUGAUGAGCUGUGACCAGCAGGACACAGGCAGUGUCCUGGGUGCUGCAAACCCCUUGUAAAGCUCUAAGAUCAGUGAGUCCCCCCUGAACACAGUCUCAGCCCCAUGAGGACUCAUUUGUACAGAAUGUGCGCCUACCCUUUGACCAUGACCUGCCUCCUUCCUCCACAGCACAUUGGCUUCUGGGUAUGGUCCAGAGAUACCCAGGAGAGUCAGGGCCAUGAGGACCAGCACCACCUUCCUGCGAUACACCAACCUACUCCCAGGAUUUGACAUAAGUGACCUUUGACCCCCAGGCUCUUGACCCCAGGUGUAGGCAGUGUUGGCUCCAACAGGCUAUGGGAUCUGCAGGGGCUGUGGGCUGGGCCGGGCCCUGCGGGGAUGCAGUCAGAGCUGGGAAUCAGAUACACUUGAGACAAGCUCCUCUUCUCCUGGCUAAGUGGUGCCCCCUGGGUCUGUAGAGGACUGUGCUCCACCGAAGAGUACCCAGUAGUCACCUACUACAGGACAGGCCCAACAACGAAAGUAACAGAACUCCACUAGCCGUCACCUUCAGCCCCCAACUAAA